UAAUGUAAUAAGGUUUAAAUCAAAUCGAAUAUAUUGGCAAUAAGAAAACUUAAAUAAAUACGCAUUCAAUGGAAUUCCUAGGGCAUAUAAAAUUCGGUGCGCUGAUGAAUGACGAUUUUAUACAAAACAUUGAUAAUUUAUAGCUCAUAAACCGAACAUGACGCAAACGAACUUUCUGGAUUAGAUCCCACGGUUUUCAGCUCUGUCGUACGUCUACCACCGCAGCACAAGCAGUCAGCCUAGCCAUUACCGACAUCGCCUUCCCUAUUGAAUCAAGCUUUACCUCAUCGGCUCUGACCGGUAAGUUUUCCUUGUUUUCCCCCCUGUUUAUCUUUUUCAUUUCAGGCCGAAAAUUCCUAAGCCUCCUUUUACCCCGCCAGGUCGGCCUGUCCGGUGGACAGAAAUACCUUUGGUCCUUCGGCUCAUAUGAGCGAGUGUGCACUCGAUGACGGCUACUGACUCGGGACACGAUUCCUGUCGCGAUUGGCUGGGCGACCUUUGAGUCCGCGCACUGCCAUGACCGUCUGCCUUGCAUCCCACGCUGUUUUCUCCGCGGGUGAUUCCGCCGUAACUCCUCGUCCUGUCAGGAAGUCCAAGGGAUGUUCUCCUGGCUGGACCGUGGCACACACCGGCUGUCCUUCUGCGUGCCAUAGCCAUGAUGCCGCGUCUGUGUUGCUGAGUCGAGCGUCCCGUCCACUGCAGCAGAGACCAGUGAUCGACGGCGGAAUUGUUGGUUCACGCCGACGGGAAAUAAUGUCAACAAUCCCGACAUUGAUACGCCGCCGACUCAAGCACUGGGCUUCAGCUUCGAGACGUAUGACUUAUGUACUCUACGCUUUGGCAGAAACCGAGUCGUAUCCGAUUUCCCACCGCCAGACGGAGCCCUGCCCAGCAUUACCGAGGCCAAUUCAACACAGACGGAGUCCGAUCCCAGCCAGAUAGAAUCAUACCCCAGCAGGAUAGAAGCGCACCUCUUGCAAGAUCCGACAAAAUCAAGUCAUCGUCAUCUUGGAAAUGGCCAUCAAGGACUUUGACUGUGGCAACUAUGGGAGCGGCUACGCGGGCUACUAGAUUCUAGAUAGAUCUCAUCGUUGUUAGGUUUAAGGAUAUACAAAGCUAUACAUUUAGAAAGUAGAUAUUAAUGCUGUACACUUGUUUAUUUAUUUAUACU
rnacentral:misc_RNA from 1 species